GCAACCCUUGCCAUUAGUUGCUCGAAAGGGCACUCUAAUGGGACUGCCGGUGACAAACCGGAGGAAGGUGGGGAUGACGUCAAGUCCUCAUGGCCCUUAUAGGUGGGGCUACACACGUCAUACAAUGGCUGGUACAGAGGGUUGCCAACCCGCGAGGGGGAGCUAAUCCCAUAAAGCCAGUCGUAGUCCGGAUCGCAGUCUGCAACUCGACUGCGUGAAGUCGGAAUCGCUAGUAAUCGCGGAUCAGAAUGUCGCGGUGAAUACGUUCCCGGGUCUU
rnacentral:rRNA from 1 species